UAUAUACACAUUGUCUUGGCUGGUAUCGG
rnacentral:piRNA from 1 species